GACGAACGCUGGCGGCGUGCUUAACACAUGCAAGUCGAACGGAAAGGCCCUGCUUUUGUGGGGUGCUCGAGUGGCGAACGGGUGAGUAACACGUGAGUAACCUGCCCUUGACCUUGGGAUAACUUCAGGAAACUGGGGCUAAUACCGGAUAGGAGCUCCUGCUGCAUGGUGGGGGUUGGAAAGUUUCGGCGGUUGGGGAUGGACUCGCGGCUUAUCAGCUUGUUGGUGGGGUAGUGGCUUACCAAGGCUUUGACGGGUAGCCGGCCUGAGAGGGUGACCGGCCACAGUGGGACUGAGAUACGGCCCAGACUCCUACGGGAGGCAGCAGUGGGGAAUAUUGCACAAUGGGCGGAAGCCUGAUGCAGCAACGCCGCGUGCGGGAUGACGGCCUGCGGGUUGUAAACCGCUUUCGCCUGUGACGAAGCGUGAGUGACGGUAAUGGGUAAAGAAGCACCGGCUAACUACGUG
rnacentral:rRNA from 1 species